rnacentral:rRNA from 1 species
UACGUAGGGUGCAAGCGUUAAUCGGAAUUACUGGGCGUAAAGCGUGCGCAGGCGGUCUGCUAAGAGAGGUGUGAAAUCCCCGGGCUUAACCUGGGAACUGCGCUUCUAACUGGCAGGCUAGAGUGUGGCAGAGGGGGGUGGAAUUCCACGUGUAGCAGUGAAAUGCGUAGAGAUGUGGAGGAACACCGAUGGCGAAGGCAGCCCCCUGGGCUAACACUGACGCUCAUGCACGAAAGCGUGGGGAGCAAACAGG